AUGUUUUUUUUUUUUGAUUUGGUGAGAGG
rnacentral:misc_RNA from 1 species